AGUCUGCAACUCGACUACAUGAAGCUGGAAUCGCUAGUAAUCGCAGAUCAGAAUGCCGCGGUGAAUACGUUCCCGGGUCUUGUACACACCGCCCGUCACACCAUGGGAGCCGGUAACGCCCGAAGUCAGUGACCCAACCGAGAGGAGGGAGCUGCCGAAGGCGGGACAGGUAACUGGGGUGAAGUCGUAACAAGGUAAC
rnacentral:rRNA from 1 species